rnacentral:sRNA from 1 species
CAAACCAUGAUAACCGAUUUUUUGUGGC